rnacentral:rRNA from 1 species
GGACGAAAGUCUGACGGAGCAACGCCGCGUGAGUGAUGAAGGUUUUCGGAUCGUAAAGCUCUGUUGUUAGGGAAGAACAAGUGCCGUUCGAAUAGGGCGGUACCUUGACGGUACCUAACCAGAAAGCCACGGCUAACUACGUGCCAGCAGCCGCGGUAAUACGUAGGUGGCAAGCGUUGUCCGGAAUUAUUGGGCGUAAAGGGCUCGCAGGCGGUUUCUUAAGUCUGAUGUGAAAGCCCCCGGCUCAACCGGGGAGGGUCAUUGGAAACUGGGGAACUUGAGUGCAGAAGAGGAGAGUGGAAUUCCACGUGUAGCGGUGAAAUGCCGUAGAGAUGUGGAGGAACACCAGUGGCGAAGGCGACUCUCUGGUCUGUAACUGACGCUGAGGAGCGAAAGCGUGGGGAGCGAACAGGAUUAGAUACCCUGGUAGUCCACGCCGUAAACGAUGAGUGCUAAGUGUUAGGGGGUUUCCGCCCCUUAGUGCUGCAGCUAACGCAUUAAGCACUCCGCCUGGGGAGUACGGUCGCAAGACUGAAACUCAAAGGAAUUGACGGGGGCCCGCACAAGCGGUGGAGCAUGUGGUUUAAUUCGAAGCAACGCGAAGAACCUUACCAGGUCUUGACAUCCUCUGACAAUCCUAGAGAUAGGACGUCCCCUUCGGGGGCAGAGUGACAGGUGGUGCAUGGUUGUCGUCA